GGGUCUACCCAUUGGUCAGGCUUAAUUGUCUGCACUGGUGAGAUGGAUCUCUACCUUCUGAGGAACUUUCAUGCCCUUUGUUGGGUGUGGCGGGGAACCAGGACUUUUACCUUGAAAAAAUUAGAGUGUUUAAAGCAGGCAAAAUGCUUGAAUACAUUAGCAUGGAAUAAUGAAAUAGGACCUCGGUUCUAUUUUGUUGGUUUCUAGGACCGACGUA
rnacentral:rRNA from 1 species